CCGUCGCGACAAGGCAGGCAAACCAAGCAAUUGCUUGGGGCCCCGGAAUUUUCUGGGGCCCCAAGACAACGACUGGUUGAGAAUAAAUGCAACGACAAACUGUGUCCCUUUGAUAGUCAAUGCAAUGCAGUAAAGUGCAAUGACACUGUUAUUAUCGGAAUCCCCCUCAAGAGGGCCCCCUCUCAGUACUAGUCGCUGACAACAGGCAGCCAGCCAACCAUGUGAUCUCUGCUACCGGCAAAAUACAAAACUUCGGCAGUCAUCAUGAAGCGGAUUUAUGCUUCUGGAAGCCAAUAAAGAAAGGAAGAGGAGUAUAAGAAAAAACAAAAUAGUGGUGCUUUGCUUAAAUUUCUCAGCGCGCAGGCUCUUCCUAAGGAUACAUCCACUGAUGAAGCUACACCAUCAACGUCAUCCUCAACAUCAACAGAUGCAUCACUUCUCAGUGCUGAUGUUUCCUCUAUAGCACAAGGUACCACAAGCUCUAUAAUUAGGCUAUAGCUAAAAUCAUGCACAGCCCAAAGUUUAAACUGAUAAGUGUGUGCUGUCUUAUUGUUAGAAAAAAAACAGUGCAAAUCACUAUUGAAUUCCCACCAAACUGUGUAAAUAAACAUUAAACUGUAAACCUUAAACUGUAUGGCUAUGCUGUGGUUCCUGUAGGCUUUGCGUGCGUGUGGGGGGGCCUCCAUGUCCAUUUUGCUUGGGGCCCCCAAAUUCCUUCAAACGGCCC